AAUCCAUGAUGGGGACACUUACUUAACAACUCCUUGAAUAGCUCCCAUGCAUCAUACAACGAAUCCCCGUCAUUCUGAUGAAAAUUGUUAAUUUCGCCUCUCAACUU